rnacentral:rRNA from 1 species
AAUCAACGCUGGCGGCGUGCCUAACACAUGCAAGUCAAACGCGAAAGUGGAGCAAUCCAUGAGUAGAGUGGCAAACGGGUGAGUAACACGUGGAUGACCUGCCUUCGAGUGGGGGAUAACGUCCCGAAAGGGACGCUAAUACCGCAUGACAUCCUGCCUUUGAAGAGGCGGAGAUCAAAGCUGGGGAUCGCAAGACCUAGCGCUUGAAGAGGGGCCCGCGUCCGAUUAGCUAGUUGGUGAGGUAACGGCUCACCAAGGCAACGAUCGGUAGCCGGCCUGAGAGGGCGGACGGCCACACUGGGACUGAGACACGGCCCAGACUCCUACGGGAGGCAGCAGUGGGGAAUUGUUCGCAAUGGGCGCAAGCCUGACGACGCAACGCCGCGUGGAGGAUGAAGAUCUUCGGGUCGUAAACUCCUGUCGAAUGGGACGAAUGCAUCGCGCGCGAACAGCGCGUGAUGGUGACGGUACCGUUAAAGGAAACCCCGGCUAACUCCGUGC